rnacentral:rRNA from 1 species
UGCGGAGGGAUCAUUACCGAGUUUACAACUCCCAAACCCCUGUGAACAUACCACUUGUUGCCUCGGCGGAUCAGCCCGCUCCCGGUAAAACGGGACGGCCCGCCAGAGGAUCCCUAAACUCUGUUUCUAUAUGUAACUUCUGAGUAAAACCAUAAAUAAAUCAAAACUUUCAACAACGGAUCUCUUGGUUCUGGCAUCGAUGAAGAACGCAGCAAAAUGCGAUAAGUAAUGUGAAUUGCAGAAUUCAGUGAAUCAUCGAAUCUUUGAACGCACAUUGCGCCCGCCAGUAUUCUGGCGGGCAUGCCUGUUCGAGCGUCAUUUCAACCCUCAAGCACAGCUUGGUGUUGGGACUCGCGUUAAUUCGCGUUCCUCAAAUUGAUUGGCGGUCACGUCGAGCUUCCAUAGCGUAGUAGUAAAACCCUCGUUACUGGUAAUCGUCGCGGCCACGCCGUUAAACCCCAACUUCUGAAUGUUGACCUCGGAUCAGGUAGGAAUACCCGCUGAACUUAAGCAUAU